AGCCUGUGAUGAAUAUUUGAAUAAGAGUAGUGGACAGAAGUGGAUUUCUGACACAUUUUCAAACUGAUGGCU
ensembl:snoRNA